rnacentral:rRNA from 1 species
AGCGAGCGCUGGCGGCAGGCCUAACACGUGCAAGUCGAACGAUCCUUCGGGAUAGUGGCGGACGGGUGAGUAACACGUGGGAACGUGCCCUUUGGUUCGGAACAACUCAGGGAAACUUGAGCUAAUACCGAAUGUGCCCUUCGGGGGAAAGAUUGAUCGCCAUUGGAGCGGCCCGCGUCUGAUUAGCUAGUUGGUGAGGUAAAGGCUCACCAAGGCUACGAUCAGUAGCUGGUCUGAGAGGAUGAUCAGCCACAUUGGGACUGAGACACGGCCCAGACUCCUACGGGAGGCAGCAGUGGGGAAUCUUGCGCAAUGGGCGAAAGCCUGACGCAGCCAUGCCGCGUGAAUGAUGAAGGUCUUAGGAUUGUAAAAUUCUUUCACCGGGGACGAUAAUGACGGUACCCGGAGAAGAAGCCCCGGCUAACUUCGUGCCAGCCGCCGCAGUAAUAC